rnacentral:rRNA from 1 species
AUUGAACGCUGGCGGCAUGCCUUACACAUGCAAGUCGAACGGCAGCACGGGGGCAACCCUGGUGGCGAGUGGCGAACGGGUGAGUAAUGCAUCGGAACGUGCUCAGUAGUGGGGGAUAACCAGUCGAAAGACUGGCUAAUACCGCAUACGACCCAAGGGUGAAAGCGGGGGACCGUAAGGCCUCGCGCUAUUGGAGCGGCCGAUGUCUGAUUAGCUAGUUGGCGGGGUAAGAGCCCACCAAGGCGACGAUCAGUAGAUGGUCUGAGAGGACGACCAGCCACACUGGGACUGAGACAGGGCCCAGACUCCUACGGGAGGCAGCAGUGGGGAAUUUUGGACAAUGGGCGCAAGCCUGAGCCAGCCAUACGGCGUGCGGGAAGAAGGCGUUCGGGUUGUAAACCGCUUUUGGCAGGAGCGAAACGGCGCAAGCCAAUACCUUGCGCUAAUGACGGUACCUGCAGAAUAAGCACCGGCUAACUACGUGCCAGCCGCCGCAGUAAGAC